UACGUAGGGUGCGAGCGUUGUCCGGAAUUAUUGGGCGUAAAGAGCUCGUAGGCGGUGUGUCACGUCGUUCGUGAAAACCUGCAGCUUAACUGUGGGCGUGCGGUCGAUACGGGCAUCACUGGAGUUCGGCAGGGGAGACUGGAAUUCCUGGUGUAGCGGUGAAAUGCGCAGAUAUCAGGAAGAACACCGGUGGCGAAGGCGGUGGGCUGGGCCGGCACUGACGCUGAGGAGCGAAAGCGUGGGGAGCGAACAGG
rnacentral:rRNA from 1 species